GGGAUAAGCGUUGGAAACGACGUCUAAUACCGGAUACGACUCUUGGAGGCAUCUCUGGGGGUGGAAAGAAUUUUGGUCAAGGAUGAGCUCGCGGCCUAUCAGCUUGUUGGUGAGGUAAUGGCUCACCAAGGCGACGACGGGUAGCCGGCCUGAGAGGGUGACCGGCCACACUGGGACUGAGACACGGCCCAGACUCCUACGGGAGGCAGCAGUGGGGAAUAUUGCACAAUGGGCGAAAGCCUGAUGCAGCAACGCCGCGUGAGGGACGACGGCCUUCGGGUUGUAAACCUCUUUUAGUAGGGAAGAAGCGUAACAGUGACGGUACCUGCAGAAAAAGCACCGGCUAACUACGUGCCAGCAGCCGCGGUAAUACGUAGGGUGCAAGCGUUGUCCGGAAUUAUUGGGCGUAAAGAGCUCGUAGGCGGUUUGUCGCGUCUGCUGUGAAAACCCGAGGCUCAACCUCGGGCCUGCAGUGG
rnacentral:rRNA from 1 species